UCUCCCUCACACUUGCAACCAAAGAGAAAUAUCUCUCUCUCUCUAACAAUUUCUCCACCAAAGAGAGGAAUUGGAGGUGCAUUUGGAGAAGAAAAAGGUUGCUUGGAGGUGAAGUCUUCAUCCUCUUCAUUACUGGGUUUGAGGAAAAGCUUGUGUUUGAGGUGCCUAAACGCGUGUGAAGCGUCGGUUCGUCGAUUCGUCGAGCAGGUGCGACCGAAGAGUAAAGCGGCGACUAGGGAAGUGCAAUUGAGAACCUAGCCUCGUGAUAGCGGUAAAAGGUGGGGGGUGUCCAUCCGAAGCAAUCGGGCUUCCUUCUAUGUCCGAGUUAGAUUUUUGGUCAUACUGCACAUAUGGUUCUUAUGCAUUAUAGGAUGUAUGUAUAGUUGCAUUUCUAUUUCCUUGCAUGCAUGUCUAGUUGUGUAGUAUUAUGGACUUAACACUUAAAUCUAGAAUGCAUGAGGAUUAGGGUUUAUGACAUGAGAUCCUAUAGUGAUAAGAAAAUGGUAAACUCGGACUUGAUGAUGAAAACUAGUGACAUGCGAACUAGUGUAUAGAAAACACUAUGACUUGGACGAGUAGCAUGUAAACAAUGAUAACAACAUGACGAGUGGCAUUGGAACUUAGUGUAAUAGAAACACUUGUGACAUUUGAGCAUAGGGAAUAGGUAAGUUUCCCUAGUCAUGGCAUAUUGCAUGAGAACUAGUGUAAUUGAGACACUAUGGCAUCAAACAUAGGGAUAGUUCAAUUCCCUAGUGUGAGUUGAUUAGUGUGGUUGAGACACUUGACAUGAACCUAGGGAUAGGUGGAUUUUCGAGUGUUUGUUAACCUAGUUGACAGGGUAUCCUCAGUUGGUGAGGAUUGGAUCAUACUCACAAGUCUGUUUUGAGCUUGUGAUGGUCGCUCCACACAAGCAGUGCACUCCGGAGUUGUCAAACGAGCUGGGUAGCUCACGAGCGGGGUAGCUCACUGGGUGGGAUACGAGCGGGGUAGCUCCUCACCCAUUGCCGGAGUUGUCACACGAGCGGGGUAGCUCAUGAGCGGGGUAGCUCAUCGGGUGGGAUACGAGCGGGGUAGCUCCUCACCCAUUGGACUGGGACGUGAGUUGGGGCGAAGGGCGGGGUAGCUUUUCCCCUAUGAGAUUGAGCGGGGCAGCUCAAUAUCUAUGAGAUUAACACGGGGUAGCUCUUCAUCUAUUACCUUUGAGAUGUGAGACGGGUGAGAUAAGAGCGGGGUAGCUCCUCACCUAUGAGAUUUGAGAUAUCAGUCAGGGCGAAGAGCGGGGUAGCUCUUCACCUCUUCAUCUACUAGAUUGUGGUGAGUACCUAUGAGAUUUGAGAUCUUAGGCGGGGUAGCCUAGUGGAUUGGGUAAUGAUAUGAAUAGCAUAAGUGGAUUUGCAUUCAUCCCCUGAUUAGACAUAGUAUAUGUUAGUGGAUUGCAUAACUAUAUUGUAUUUGUUUUCAUUAUAUUGUUGAAGGAUAUUAUCAUGAUAGUAGGCUUAUUGCUAGACGAUAUUUCAUGCAUUGCUUGCAUUUGAUGGCACAAUAGAUCAUAGUUGCAGUUCAAUAUCUAUCUAUCUAUUUGUGCCAGCUUAGACCUAGUGGAAAACCGGCGGCGUCGGCGGCCGAACCCACUGGGAACUAUAUUUAUAUAGUUCUCACCCCGUGUGGUUUUGGGGUACAGGUACACAUAGAGGCGAGCCGAGCGAGGACCGCGGCAAGGGCAUAGCGCCCUAAGUGAGCCUAGUUAGUAGCUUUUCCUUAUGCAUUAAAGUACCCUCGUGUACUAGUUGAUAUUUUGGAUAGAUAUCAGAGAGCUACUUGUAUUUUGAAGAAAACAUGUACUUACAUUUUGGAAGAUGAAAAUAUAAUAUAUUCAAAUAAUGUAAAUGUUGAAUGAUUGUGAUAGUUAGACUAUCUCUCUUUAUACACUUGUAUAUCACUUGUGGUUCUUGCUCUUAGAUGUAUUGCACUUGUGUGCAUCGUAUUUGAUCAUGUAUGUUAUUUAAGCAAAUUCCUGGGUGCUUAAUUGUACAUGAUCUGGUUGCUUGGCCUUGGGCGGACAGGAGAGGUACUGUCCGUUCGGCGGUCCGUCUGAUGUGCCCGAACCGUGCCAAAUU
rnacentral:lncRNA from 1 species